CACAAGCGGUGGAGCAUGUGGUUUAAUUCGAAGAUACGCGAAGAACCUUACCUGGGCUUGAUAUCCUAAGAACCUUUUAGAGAUAAGAGGGUGCUAGCUUGCUAGAACUUAGAGACAGGUGCUGCACGGCUGUCGUCAGCUCGUGUCGUGAGAUGUUGGGUUAAGUCCCGCAACGAGCGCAACCCACGUAUUUAGUUGCUAACGGUUCGGCCGAGCACUCUAAAUAGACUGCCUUCGUAAGGAGGAGGAAGGUGUGGACGACGUCAAGUCAUCAUGGCCCUUAUGCCCAGGGCGACACACGUGCUACAAUGGCAUAUACAAUGAGACGCAAUACCGCGAGGUGGAGCAAAUCUAUAAAAUAUGUCCCAGUUCGGAUUGUUCUCUGCAACUCGAGAGCAUGAAGCCGGAAUCGCUAGUAAUCGUAGAUCAGCCAUGCUACGGUGAAUACGUUCCCGGGUCUUGUACUCACCGCCCGUCACACCAUGGGAGUUGAUUUCACUCGAAGCCGGAAUACUAAACUAGUUACCGUCCACAGUGGAAUCAGCGACUGGGGUGAAGUCGUAACAAGGUAACCGUAGGAGAACCUGCGGUUGGAUCACCUCCUUU
rnacentral:rRNA from 1 species